UUGAACGCUGGCGGCAUGCCUUACACAUGCAAGUCGAACGGCAGCACGGGAGCAAUCCUGGUGGCGAGUGGCGAACGGGUGAGUAAUAUAUCGGAACGUGCCCGGUCGUGGGGGAUAACGUAGCGAAAGCUACGCUAAUACCGCAUACGAUCUACGGAUGAAAGCGGGGGAUCGCAAGACCUCGCGCGAUUGGAGCGGCCGAUAUCAGAUUAGGUAGUUGGUGAGGUAAAGGCUCACCAAGCCGACGAUCUGUAGCUGGUCUGAGAGGACGACCAGCCACACUGGGACUGAGACACGGCCCAGACUCCUACGGGAGGCAGCAGUGGGGAAUUUUGGACAAUGGGCGCAAGCCUGAUCCAGCAAUGCCGCGUGCAGGAUGAAGGCCUUCGGGUUGUAAACUGCUUUGUACGGAACGAAACGGUGAGCUCUAAUACAGUUUGCUAAUGACGGUACCGUAAGAAUAAGCACCGGCUAACUACGUG
rnacentral:rRNA from 1 species